UGAGGAAUCUUCCACAAUGGGCGAAAGCCUGAUGGAGCAACGCCGCGUGCAGGAUGAAGGCCUUCGGGUUGUAAACUGCUUUUAUAAGUGAGGAAUAUGACGGUAGCUUAUGAAUAAGGGUCGGCUAACUACGUG
rnacentral:rRNA from 1 species